AGGAGAGGAGAAGAAGAAAGAGAGGAGAAGAAGAAGGAGAGGAGAAGAAGAAAGAGAAGAGAGAAAGAAAGAGAGGAGAAGAAGAAAGAGAGGAGAAGAAUGAAACAAAACUAAACCAUUUUUACUACUUGGCCAGGCACACAUUCCUCCAGCUUUCAGGAAUGUACUGUAUACCAAGGAAUCACAGAGAAAACUGAAGUUCCACUGGAGACCCACAGCGACAUUCUCUCUAUCGGAUACUGUCACCACACACUCAUGUAAACAAGCUGUGAAGAGAUCUGACUCUAGAUAGUGUGAAAUAACACUCUACAAAUUAAAUAUUAUGCUUAUUAAAAACCAUAUCAUUGUAUCAAAAUGAACCAAUAGAGUUGCAUGUAAACGAAGUAUGCCAACAGCUGCAAAUAAUCAAGCCACAGUCCCGCCAUAAUCAUGGUCACACAGUGAGUACUACUUACCGAAGCAGCCGACGCGCACACAUCCCAUAGUCCUGCAGAAAACACACACACACACAUUAGUUCAAACAGCAGCACUCACAACCAAUGAUCAGGUUUCAUAUGAUCAGAUUCAUAUCAUGGUAAAUAUACACUCAGAAAUGACACGGGAGUUUGCUUAUUAAUCCUCAGCUAAUAUGGUGAGAUACAAAAAGUAAUUAAGAAAUAUCUUCAUUCUAUAUUUAUUAUAAUAACCAGGUUAAGGAAAUUAAUGAGCAUUGAGAGAAAUUCUGUCUCCAUGGUUACUCUGUUACCUAAUAGUCAGUCAAUAAAACCCUAAGGGAAAUCCCUAUACAAGGGAGUUACUUCAGGAAAUUCUUUGCUACUGUGUGUGGUUGGCCUAAACACAGGGCCCAGUUUUUCAAAAGUUAUCUAUUCGUAUUUCAGCUAUGGGAUAGGAUUAAAUGCAUAGAAGUUUAAUGAAUAGAACGGGAGUCCCCAUUCAAGUCAAUGAUUUGUCUAUUCAUUCUAUUUCUAUGCAUUUAAUCCUAACCGAUAGGGCGAAGUCCAGAUAUAUAACUUUUUAAAAACUGUCUGGCUAUCUAGGCUGGCUAUCUAGACAAUCGUGCGGUACUGUACUAGUGCCUCGUGAGAUAUUUGUCGUCAUGGUUAUUGGUUCAUCUCAGGGAUUGGUAGUUAAGGAUAGGAGUUCAGAGUUGAUUUAACGUUAAUCUGAAGAGAAUCAAACAACAAUUCUGUUCUUCAAUCGUGUGUCUUUUACACUUUGUCUUGCAAGGACUUUGAUAUGUGUUGCAUACCUGAGUGUAAAGAUAUAAAAACGAUCAGUAGAAUGUGACAGGCCAGAGGAUUGUGCGGGGGCAGACGAAGGGAACUGGCUUGGUUGUCAGAUACGUUUCUAAUUAAUAAGCCAGGGGGAAUCCCCAGAAAUAUACAUCUGCGUUGUUAUGGUUUCAGCUUGUAGGAUGAGUUUCAUGAACACAGGUUACAGUAUCAACAGUACAGAAGAACUAUACAUUGUUGCUUUAUAUUCCAUAUAUUGCUAUAAUGCACACACAUGAAAACAAUCAGACAUAAACACAACAUAAGCAUGCACGUGUGCAUUCGUGUGCAUUCCUAUGCAUUUGUGUAUGCCUUCAUGGUCAACUGAGCAUGUGACAAACAGUAGUUUCACACUGAUCGUAAUCCUGACACAGAUGCUUUUGUUAUGUUGCAGUUUUAUCAAAACACAAAAUAUGAAAACUUCAGAGUUAAUCUGACCAUAAGUAGGUGAAAUCCACUGUGUGAAAAUGUUUAACUUUAUCCAUGUGAUUGACAGUGUUUGCAAAUAAGUUAAUUUCAAAAAUAUAUAAUGCACUGUCCAUACAACACGUUAUACAUAUUAAACAGCUUCGACAGAGAUGAUGAUAAACCUUUAUUUAAAAUAUGUAAUAUGACACUACGGAGGUUUUACACAGGCAGCCCAAUUUUGCCAAUAAUUUGUCUUUUGACCAAUCAUAUCAGAUCUUUUGCCAAUAAUUCAUCUUUUGACCAAUCAGAAUAUAUCCGAAUUGAGCUGCCUGUGUAAAUGCAGCCAAUGUCCUGUCAGUUUUUAUGGCUCCAUAAUCUGUUGGCUACAUGUCUCCAGAUACUACAGUCAACCCUAAGAGUAGGAGUCACAUCUCUACAGCGAUUGUUUUGGUUGAUAACCUGAAACACCAACAACCUCCAUUCAUUCAAGAUAUAUGAUAUAGUAGGUAAAACUGAAUACCAUAAUAUUACAUUAUUUAAUUAAACUGCUUCACCUUAACCUGCACCGUAUUACCUAAGUAAAUCUACAACAACAAUAGCACAUCCACUACAAGCCAGUCUGGAAGAGCUGUAAAUAUGUGUAACAGUUAUAAAGCCUAUGAGGGGGAAAUAAAGACAUUCUUACCACA